UCAGCUUCUACCUUAAUAACAAGCAGAGCUCUGCAUUUCUCUAACAUUGUGACAUCAUGGCAAGAGUGGCAGGAGAGAAGAUGUAUGUUCAGAGGCAGCCUGAGCUGCCUGUGUUCCCAAGGCAUCCUUUCUAAGGAAUCCAGGCCAAGGUCACCACCACCACACGUGCUUUCUGUGGCAGCCUCAUAGCAGAGAUGUCAUUGGCAAUGUUGAGCCUUCUGAAGAGGAAAAGACAGCCAGCGCUUCUGUUGUUCUCAUAUUCUGCAUAUUUUAUUGCCUUCACCAAUGGAUGGCAACACAAAGUUUUGUGCACCAUCUCCUCAGUCAGAGAUAUUCCUGGGUGGCAGUAAUAAGAAGUGCUUACCUGUUCUCAUUCAGCCUCUUCAAAACAGGAUCUACUGAUUGUUAAUACAGUGGUGCCUCUGCCGUUUCAUAAAGGUCAUUCUGUCACAAAUCUUGUCUGCAGAGGCUCAUUCAGCUAAAGGUUUGGUUUCAGGACGAAAAAUUGUGAAUCGUUUGAGACUGGGCUCUAUCACCUUCAAACCUUCUGGAAACUAUGACUAUAAGGAUCUUCAAGCAGCAUGGGAGAGUAAGAGCACCACCUGCAGUACCUAAUAAAUUGUCCAGCCUAUGGGUUUCACCUUGCUCCCUUCCAGACUUUGUAGUUCCUAUUGCUAAAGAAGCAUCUGCAUUUCAGUUCUCUCACCUGCAAAAAAAAGAGGGCAUCUGUAAGAUUGAGAACUUCAUGGAGCAUGUAUUCUCCAUGUGUAAACACAAGAAAUGGCGCUUGGACCUGUUUUCUUCAAACUCUUCUGCCUGCAAUUAAUAGCUGUUUAAGACUCACAGGAGCAAUCUGGUUUGGCAGGGGUGAAAUAUUUUGUAAAACUGGAACCUGUGACCAUUUGGGAAGCAAAUCUUGCAGCAUCCUUGAUGUGGCUCUCCAGGAAGAGAUGGAAAUUUUCUACAAUUGCUCUUCAUUAGAGAGGGCAAUAGCAAGUCUUUUUAGUCCAUAAGCCUCCGGACCUAGAAGAGCCACAUAUGGGCUAACACAGAGAUGACUGCACAUCACCCAAAGACCUAGGACUUUAAGCUAAGUCUGUGACUGGCUGGAAUUUUUAUGUAAUCUCCCGCGGGAAGCUAUUAAAAGUGACCCAUCUGUUGGAAGAAGAGAGCAAAGGGCCAUUUGGUGACUAGAAGGGUAAACUGGGGCAUAGACAGUAAUGCUCACCAAAUAUUCUACUUUCUGCUUCAUUUCCACCCAUGUGACUGGUGAUGGCCAAUGAACUCUGAGUGGAAGCAAAGCAUCACUUCAGGGCUGAGGUAAUGAGAAGCCCACACCUGAGCUACAGCCUCUCUUUCCUUGAUGUGGAGACUGAGCAUGCCUCUUGUUCCAGAAAGUACAGUUACAAGAGGAAAACUCUUUGUCAGAUCUAUC
rnacentral:lncRNA from 1 species